rnacentral:rRNA from 1 species
GACGAACGCUGGCGGCGUGCCUAAUACAUGCAAGUUGAGCGCUGAAGGUUGGUACUUGUACCAACUGGAUGAGCAGCGAACGGGUGAGUAACGCGUGGGGAAUCUGCCUUUGAGCGGGGGACAACAUUUGGAAACGAAUGCUAAUACCGCAUAAAAACUUUAAACACAAGUUUUAAGAUUGAAAGAUGCAAUUGCAUCACUCAAAGAUGAUCCCGCGUUGUAUUAGCUAAUUGGUGAGGUAAAGGCCCACCAAGGCGAAGAUACAUAGCCGACCUGAGAGGGUGAUCGGCCACCUUGGGACUGAGACCCGGCCCAAAAUCCUACGGGAGGCAGCCAUAGGGAAUCUUCGGCCAAGGACGAAAGUCUGACCGAACAACGCCGCGUGGGUGAAGAAGGUUUUCCGAUCGUAAAACUCUGUUGGUAGGGAAGAAAGUUGGUGAGAGUGGAAAGCUCAUCAAGUGACGGUAACUACCCAGAAAGGGACGGCUAACUACGUG